AUGUAUAUAUAUAAAACCUAUCAGAUGGAACUCUGCUUCAUAUUGUUACAUCUAAGCAAAAAGUAAAAAGGGGAAGAUAAAACAAAUCAGUAAAAUGUACACUAAAAAGAUUAACAAUAAGGGCUGGUCUCCUGGAUAUUCAAAAAAAUAUAUACAAUAUAUAUGUAGAAAUUAUUGAGUGCAUUUAUUAUAGCAGUUUAGUCAUUUUAGACUAAUAUGCGAU
rnacentral:lncRNA from 1 species